UACGUAGGGACCAAGCGUUGUUCGGAUUUACUGGGCGUAAAGGGCGCGUAGGCGGCUUAACAAGUCACUUGUGAAAUCUCCGGGCUUAACUCGGAACGGCCAAGUGAAACUGUCAAGCUAGAGUGCAGAAGGGGCAAUCGGAAUUCUUGGUGUAGCGGUGAAAUGCGUAGAUAUCAAGAGGAACACCUGAGGUGAAGACGGGUUGCUGGGCUGACACUGACGCUGAGGCGUGAAAGCCAGGGGAGCAAACGGG
rnacentral:rRNA from 1 species